CACAUCCUCUCUUCUCAAGCUCGUCUUUGUUCUAGCUCAAAUGCCAUUUCCAUGGCAGUCAACAUGGUAUUAGAGCUUUGAGACUCGAUCUACGCUUAAUCACUAACUCAAUUUCACUCUCCAUUUCUAGUAUUGCUUUAAUUCUGCAUAAGACCUGUAGAAUGGCCUUCUAGUGACGCGUGGUGAAAUUAGGGUUUGCAAGUGUUGAAUCUAGGUCUGAAACUCUGUUCAGCAAUGGCGAUUGGAGAUGAUGUGAAUGUCACAACCGCUGAUUCAAGUGAUGGCACAACUGCUACUGUCAAUAUUCCCACAAUUGAUCACAAUCAUCCUCUCUUUCUUCAACCAACGGAUACUCCAAGUAGUACUCUGAUUUCUCUUCAAUUAACCGGAUCAGAUAACUAUGCUUUGUGGAGUAGAUCUAUGAGGAUUGGUUUGCUAGGCAAGAGUAAACUAGGUUUUGUGGAUGGACGAUUUCCUAAAUCUAAAUUUGUACCUGAACUGUAGUCAAUGGUGUAGUUCUCGCAUGGAUUAUGAAUGUAGUUAGACCAGGCCUAUUAAGUAGUGUAAUGUAUGCAUUUGAUGCUCACAAAGUGUGGGAGGAUCUAAAAGAAAGAUUUGAUAAAGUGAAUGGUUCGAGAGUUCUCUAUCUCCAUAGAGAAAUUCAUACAUUGACUCAAGGAACCAUGACCAUAUCUGACUAUUUUUUGAAACUGAGGGAUCUUUGGGACAAGUUUGAUGCUCUCAUGCCCAACCCUGUUUGUCCAUGUCCAAAAUCGAAAAAGUUUGCUCAGCACUUUGAACAACACAGGCUUCUGCAAUUUCUUAUGAGCCUAAAUGAGUCAUACUCACAAUUCAGAAGUCAAAUUAUGAUGAUGUCCCCAAUUCCUAGUAUCAACAAGGCCUACCCUCUACUAGUGGAUCAGGAAAGUUAAAGGAGUUUGGCAAAUUUCUCACAAACAAUUCAAGUGUCUGAGACAAUGGCGAGUACUGAUCUUUACAGUAAUAGAACCUCUGUUAACUCAGGAGGUAAUUUCAAACAAAGGAGAAAUCAAAUACAGUGUGAAUACUGCUACUACAAAGGACAUACUAAGGAAAAUGGUUAUAAGCUAAUUGGCUAUCUAGCUGAUUUUAAACAUAAGAAGAAAGGAGGAACCCCUGGUCUAUAUGCUAAUCAUGCUAGUGCUGAUGUCCAUCAGCUGGGAGAAGGGCCAUAGAUGCAGGUUGGAGUUCAACAUGCAGGUCAACAUGGUAGAGGAGAUCAUUAUGUCUCAACCUGUUAUUAUGCCUCAAUACCCUAUGAUAUCUAUGAUGCCUCAAUCUGCCACGUAUUCUCAGUCUCCACCACCUGCACCCUAUCUUACACAACAACAAUAUCAACAGAUUGUCCAGCUACUCAACAAAAGUGCUGAAGAGGGAUCAUCUUCCAAGGCUGUUGCUGCAGGACGGAUAAUGGGCAUGAAUUUUUUAGUUCUGACUUCAAAGCAUUGGUCUCCUCUCUUGGAAUUAUUCACCAGAGUUCUUGUGUUUAUGCUCCUCAGCAGAAUGGAGUGGUAGAAAGAAAAUACAGAACAAUCCUUGAAAUAGCCAGAUCACUCAGGUUUCAAGAAGCUGUUCCUCUAAAGUUCUGGGGUGAAUGUGUUAGCACUACAGUUUACCUUAUUAACAUGCUGCCUUCCAGAGUAUUACAUAACAAAUCACCUUUUGAAAUGCUUCAGUUGCAUCCUCCUUCUCUCAUACACCUUAGAGUUUUUGAGUGUCUAUGUUAUGCAUCCAAUCCAAAGAAGAAUGAUAAGUUUGCACCAAUAGCUCUUCCUGUAAUCUUGCUAGGUUAUUCUUCCACACAAAAGGGAUACAAGAUCUACAGUCUGCACACCAAGUCCUUAUUUGAAAGCAGACAUGUAGUACUUUAGGAACAUUUCUUUCCCUUCAAACACAUGAAGGAUGCUAGUACCCUUAUAUUUCAUAUUCUUGACUUGCUACCAGCUGCAGAGGCCUACUCACAGGGUGCCUCCUCACAUCACUCUGCUGCCUGUCAAGAACUACCCCAUGCUACUUUGUAUGCACCUAAUAAAGAACAUUAGCAUAGUGCCACUUCCUCACUUACUGAGUUUAUUGCUUCAACUUCAGAGUCUCAUGAUCAACCUUCUGAGACUCCACCUCAUCAGGAGUUAAGAAGGUCCACUAGAGAAGGGAUGCAACCUACUUGGAUGCAGGAUUAUGUGAUUCCUGUCAAGAACAAAUCUUGUCAAUAUCCUAUGGCUUCAUAUGUGUCCUAUACUGCUAUUAAACUGUCUUAGAAGCAGGCUCUGUCAGCAUACACAGCUAUCAAAUAGCCUCAGACUUUCAGAGAGGCUACUUUGGAUCCAAAAUGGGUAGAAGCAAUGCAGCUUGAAAUUGCUGCUCUAGAAGCUAAUCACACAUGGAGUUGAUCUUCCUACUGACAAGAUCCAUAUUGGUUGUAAAUAGAUAUUCAAGAUCAAGUAUCAGGCCUCAGGGGAGAUAGAGAGAUAUAAAGCUAGAUUGGUAGCUAAAGGCUACAGUCAAAAGGAGGGACUGGAUUAUACAGAGACCUUCUAACCUGUGGAAAAGAUGGUGACAAUCAGAUCAAUAGUGGCCCUGGCAGCAUCCAAACGCUGGUUCAUCUAUCAAAUGAAUGUCUGAUGUUAGGCCAAAAUACUACUCCCUCUGAUCCAGUUUAUGUGAACCUAUUUUCUUUUUGGCCCAUUCCAAAAAGAAUGACCACUUUCUAAAUUUAGAAACAAUUUAGCUUAAAUUUACGAUUCUAUCCUUAAUAAGAAGAUUUUAUAACGACAUAAAUACUCUGGGCCCCUUUUUGACUUGUUUAAGAUCACAAAUUCAAAAAGUCUUUAUUUUAUGUUAAACUCCG